rnacentral:lncRNA from 1 species
GAAGCAGCUAAAAAAUAUGGGGAAAUGAAGCAAAUACAGGCCCUGAUCCAAAGGCCACUGAACUCAGCAGAAGCACUGGAAUCAUGUGUGUCAUGAAUCACAAUUCACAAAUGCUAAUAAGGAAUAUUACUGUAUAUGUGUAAGGAUAAAGUCUGAUUGUCUAGUUGCAGUAUCUAGGCAUUCCACUUGGAUAAAAUGAGGACAUUUUUUCUCCAGCAGGUAGGGAGAGUUUCUCAGCAAGCAUUUAUUGCCAAUAUUUAUGGGAGAGUUUUUGGUCCCAAACGAACAGAAAUACUGGGAAACAAAAAGGAAAGAAAAUGUACCCAAGGAGGAGAUCCAGCUGCUUCCAAGUCAUUUCUAUAAAUAAAAUUCUGAUGUGAGCUCAUUAUCAUUUCCCUUUCCAGCACCGAUUUGCUUCCUCAAGUGUGCAUCUAAGGACUUGGGCUGCGCGUUGUAAAGUUUCCCUCGGCAACUGCUAAAAUUAUUCACGAGGCACUGCAGCAUGGCAGCAGCUAUCAGCUGUGGAACGCUUUGGAAUGUGCACUUCUGUUAUUACAAAUCCUGGCUGCAUUAGAUUGGGUCCCACCUGCUCAUCCAUCGAUUGGCUUAGGUAAGAGUGCCUUGUUUGAAGCCUCAGCAACCGCUGAGAAACCAGCACCACCGAGGAGCAGCAUCACAUCUCAUGCACUGCCUCUUCCAUGGGGGAGUUCAGAGCAGAUGAACAAUUUCUUAGCAACUGAGCCACAACCAAGAGCUGAGAAAGGACGGGAGAGAAAACACAAACCAAAUCGCCUUGCAAGUAAAAUACACAACCUGUUUGUUUAACCCAAUUUGUGCCAAAUAACAUUAUAGAUCCACUCAAUCUCAGCCACUUGAGGCUCACAAUCAAUGUUCUAAGAGCAGGAGAGGGAGGGUGAUGGAUCUGCUCUGAUUCAUACCUGGGGGAGACCCUCUCCUGCAACAGUCAGGGGUUCUACAUAAUGAGGUCGGCAGAGAGAACUGUGAAUUGAUUAUUAAUUAAACUGCUUGAUCACCUCCUUGGAAAAUGUAUGACCAAAUGUUGGUGCACAGAAAGUGAUUUACAUAAUCAAGUUUGAAUUUGACUCAUAAUACAGUACAAAACUACCUUAAUAAAUGGAAAUUUAAAAAAAUCA